GACGAACGCUGGCGGCGUGCUUAACACAUGCAAGUCGAACGGAAAGACCCUGCUUUUGUGUCGUGCUCGUUUGGCGAGCGCGGGAGUAACACGCGAGUAUCCUGCCCUUGACUGUGGGAUAACUUCAGGAGACUGGGGCUAAUACCCGAUAGAAUAUCCUGCUCCACGGUGUGCGAUGGAAAGUUUCGGCGGUUGGGGAUGGACUCGCGGCUUAUCAGCUUGUUGGUGGGGUUGGUGCUGUCCAGGGGUAUGACGGGUAGCCGGCCUGAGAGGGUGACCGGGCACAUUGCGACUGAGAGACGCAGCAGACUCCUAUGGGAGGCAGCAGUGGGGAAUAUUGCACAAUGGGCCGAAGCCUGAUGCAGCAACGCUGCGUGCGGGAUGACGGCCUUCGGGUUGUAAACCGCUUUCGCCUGUGACGAAGCGAGAGUGACGGUAAUGGGUAAAGAAGCACCGGCUAACUACGUG
rnacentral:rRNA from 1 species